rnacentral:lncRNA from 1 species
GAAACGGAGGGCGUGCACGGUGCACGCACGCAGAGCGCGCAGAGAACGAGCUAGCGAGAGAGAAAGUAGGCCGAGGUACACAAACGAAGGAAAAACAAUUGUAGCAGUUGGUUAGCCAACACUUACUUUUAUUUCCUUAAUUUCAGUUAAUUAGGCUGCACGUUAGUACUUAUGUAUGAUUAAAGAAUGUGAGUUACUAAAAACUGUAGCUGUUAGCCGCUAAGCUAGCUAACCGCUAACGGCUGCUAUUGGUAGGUAGCAUAGGCUAGUAAUAGUUUCUAGAAGUUAGCUUGUGUGGCUACUAGAUAAGUAAACUAAGAAUGAAUAUGAGCUUGGACCCGACGCAAGUUCAGAUAGACCCCACGGUGACCGGGAACGCGGUGUGGGUCCUCUGGUGGACACCUGGUGGGAUUGCUCAGACGUUACAAGUUCAGAUCGCGCCGUUGGUGACCGGAACAACCCUUGGGUGCCCCGGAUGAAGACAUCAGCCUCUGCUGUCACCUGCUACUCCCUGACACAAGCUGCCUCUCCAGGACUAAAACAGAACUGCGGUGUGAUGGCGCUGCAGCAGGGAGAGAAAGAUCUGGGUGACCAUCUGAAACCAAUUAUUGCGGCGCUGCAGCCACCCAGAAACUCAGUGACGGAUGGGGAUCUUGUAUUUAUAGCUGGGCAGCAGCAGCAAGGCCCUCCAUGCACCGUCGCAUCACUCCAGUCACAGCAGUGCUGGCCUUUCCAUAAUGGCUUAUUCCCAAUUAAAUCGCACCGGUAAUGUUUGACUUUCCAGUGACGCAAGAGGCUGCUGGAGUGGACAUUUCAGCAAUACACUAACUGAUUAAAUACUCAACCCUUCACAAAGAAUAAUGUACACACUGAUGAUGCUAAUAUAAUUUACAUCAAAUGUACACAACAAUACCCAACGAAAUAUCACAAAAUAAAAGGAAUUGGUGACUCACAAUGACUUUGAAGUAGCUUACAAACUUCGAGAGUCUCCACACUUUUCUCUCCUUUCACUUCUUCACACAUUGUUUUCCCUCUCUCUUAAUCACUGUCUUUCAUGUAUAUUUUAUUAGCAGUAACCAGCAGCGAGAGGACUUCACU